rnacentral:rRNA from 1 species
UACGUAGGGGUCCAGCGUUGUCCGGAUUUAUUGGGCGUAAAGCGCGCGCAGGCGGCGUGGUGUGCCGCCCGUGAAAUCCCUCGGCUCAACCGGGGGGGGUCGGGCGGAACUGCCAGGCUGGAGGCGGGUAGGGGACAGCGGAAUUCCCGGUGUAGUGGUGGAAUGCGUAGAGAUCGGGAGGAACACCAGUGGCGAAGGCGGCUGUCUGGACCUGGCCUGACGCUGAGGCGCGAAAGCGUGGGGAGCGAUC